ACAUGAUAAAUGUCAUAUUGAGUUAAUACUAAAUGUAUUGAUCUAACAUGGUACGGUCCAUAUUCAUUAGUCACAAAAUAACAAAGGCUACCACCUUACAUACAGUGUAUACAAUGCUGCACCCUGCGCUAGUGUAUGUAUAGGCUACACUAGCGCAGUGAAUUCAAUUGGACCAAUCAGAAUCAAGGUUUUCAAAUCGACGCCCCAAUCACACUGCGUGAAAGUCCGCUGCACAAAGUACCUCACGGUCAGGUUACUGUGUCAAGUUAACGUAUUGUUAUUGAGAGGGAAGCUAAUUUUGGCCAGAAAAGCAUGUUGUUUCCCAGGUUUGCUUUGCUUUACUUUCCCGACUCGGACAUGGCAAAGGUGGACACCAUAGACAAAAUAAGAAAAGAGCACAGAAGAGAAGAAGAAUAUCAGGCCACACACAACUUCAAUGUGAAGAGAGGUGUGCCUGGCAAGUGCUGACUUAGCAGGAGAGUACAGAUGCAGAUACUGACGGCAAAAAUCCUCCUUCUUUGGGAAUACUCUUGCUGAUUCUGAUGUUACGGUCCUCAAGAAAAUGUUUGAAAGCACGACCUCGACGCUGAUAUUUGGAAAGGAGAUACUGGCCCAAUCCACGUUCACAGGGAAGUCUGGCAUUCAAACCUCAAAGGGCCAGCUGGACCCUCAAAAGCUGAAUGUGCUCGUAGCCAGUUGACAGUCCGCACCUGCACCUCAUCGGCCACCUCCUCUGCCUGCCACACCUGCCAGCAAUCAGCCUCAUCUCUGACAGUACUUCAACCCCGGUUCUCCAGUCAAUCGCUGCUUGAUCGUUGUUGCUCCAGACCUGGUGUCACCGUUUGCCUCAAGCCUUUUUUCCUUCAUCUCUGUUUCCCUACUCUUGGUUUGUCUCUGUGUCUAACCCUGUCUCUGUCUGUCUGUCUGCCUUCCCCCAGGUUCACUCACCCUCGUCCUCUGUCAAGUCAGCUGGGCUUGCCACCCUGCCCUUUUUCACCUGGGUGUGAUUUUUGCAAGAUGGAGGAAUGAUAUUAUGUUUUAUAUAUAUUAAGGAUUUCAAAUAAAUAACAAAACAAGCGUAAACAUUAUCAAAAACAUGUAGUAAAUAAAAAAAGUCUAUAUUGUUUUAAUAAUGCAUACAUUCAAUUAACCUAAUCUGCAUGUCUUUGCAGUGUGAGAUGAAACUGGAGCACCCGGAGUAAACCCACGCAAACACGGAGAGAGAACCAGAACUGAACACCAGUCCUGGCUUACUGGUUUCCCACCCAUGAAAAUGCACACAUUUGUUAAUAUUUUAGAUGUGUGGAGUCUGAUUCCCCUUCACAAAAACUCACCUCUCUAUAUCUACUUAUCCUCUGCUCUGCACCCACAUGUUGAUCUUCUCCUUUAUUUCAGUCUUCAGCCUGCCAGCUUCCCAUGGACCCUGAAGAAGUACAGACACGAGUAGUCAGGAUGGCCCAAGUUGCUCUUGACUUGACUUGCUUCACAAAGUUGAAGACACCUUUUUUCGGCGAUUGGGUGGGACAGGGCGAUGACUAAAUGUCCACACCCACUUUCAAAGGCCCAGCAGCU